rnacentral:rRNA from 1 species
UAGGGAAUCUUCCGCAAUGGACGAAAGUCUGACGGAGCAACGCCGCGUGAGUGAUGAAGGUUUUCGGAUCGUAAAGCUCUGUUGUUAGGGAAGAACAAGUACCGUUCGAAUAGGGCGGUACCUUGACGGUACCUAACCAGAAAGCCACGGCUAACUACGUGCCAGCAGCCGCGGUAAUACGUAGGUGGCAAGCGUUGUCCGGAAUUAUUGGGCGUAAAGGGCUCGCAGGCGGUUCCUUAAGUCUGAUGUGAAAGCCCCCGGCUCAACCGGGGAGGGUCAUUGGAAACUGGGGAACUUGAGUGCAGAAGAGGAGAGUGGAAUUCCACGUGUAGCGGUGAAAUGCGAAGAGAUGUGGAGGAACACCAGUGGCGAAGGCGACUCUCUGGUCUGUAACUGACGCUGAGGAGCGAAAGCGUGGGGAGCGAACAGGAUUAGAUACCCUGGUAGUCCACGCCGUAAACGAUGAGUGCUAAGUUUUAGGGGGUUUCCGCCCCUUAGUGCUGCAGCUAACGCAUUAAGCACUCCGCCUGGGGAGUACGGUCGCAAGACUGAAACUCAAAGGAAUUGACGGGGGCCCGCACAAGCGGUGGAGCAUGUGGUUUAAUUCGAAGC